AUCCUACUCCCUCCGUCUGAAAAUACUUGUCAUCAAAAUGGACAAAAAGGGAUGUAUCUAGAACUAAAAUACAUCUAGAUACAUUCUCUUUUAUUCAUUUUGAUGACAAGUAUUUCCGGACGGAGGGAGUACUUA
rnacentral:pre_miRNA from 1 species